rnacentral:rRNA from 1 species
UACGUAGGGUGCAAGCGUUGUCCGGAAUUAUUGGGCGUAAAGAGCUCGUAGGCGGUCUGUUGCGUCGGCUGUGAAAACCCGGGGCUCAACUCCGGGCCUGCAGCCGAUACGGGCAGACUAGAGUUCGGCAGGGGAGACUGGAAUUCCUGGUGUAGCGGUGAAAUGCGCAGAUAUCAGGAGGAACACCGGUGGCGAAGGCGGGUCUCUGGGCCGAUACUGACGCUGAGGCACGAAGGCCAGGGGAGCAAACGGG